rnacentral:lncRNA from 1 species
AGUUGUCAGUGGAAGUUUCCGUCAGAACCUCUCGGGAGUUCAGCCUGUAAACCAAAGCCCUCCAUUAGGUUAAGUGGGCUCCACAGCACCACUCUAAUCCUCGAUUCUGUCUGCUUCUGCCAGGAUGGUCUUUAGCAGGGAAGCCAUCCGGAGACUUCUCGUGAGCAGCUGCAGAUGCUACAGCAAUGACGCUCCGGACGACAUGGUUCUGGGCAUGUGCUUCAGUGGGCUGGGGGUCCCCGUGACACACAGCCCCCUCUUCCAUCAGGCUCGGCCAGUAGAUUACCCCAAGGACUACCUCGCCCAUCAGAUUCCAGUAUCAUUUCACAAACACUGGCACAUUGACCCGGUAAAGGUGUACCUCACGUGGCUGGCACCCAGUGAGGAAGACCAAGCCACGCAGGAGACACAGAAGGACCCAAGAGAAGAAUUAUAGAACAGAGUCUGGGACACACGGAUACAAGAGAUUCACCCUGUCUGUUGAGCUGUGGUCCAGCUGCUCGUGUAUGCUGUGUGAAAUGGACACUUCCCAGUCCUUGUGGAAAUAGGAUAUUUUCUGUAUCGGUAGACUCAUAAGGGAAACUGGGAAAAAUCGCUUGUUUUCAUAGAUGUCGUAAUUGUAACACGGCAAUUAUUGUGCCUAUUUUAGCCCACCGUGGGCUGUAAAUCAAGAGCUUUUUGACUGUCAGAGGAAAUAAAUGGUACCUAAAGUCCUUUUCUGUUUUCUCCAUUGUAACAGGGACGCCAAUACAAGAAUAUGACUGGCUAUCAUCCCACAUAAACAUUGAAUCUUUAAACAUGGAUAUUGCCAAAGGAAUGAGCCUUUAAACCAAUGGUUCUCAACCUGUGGGUCGAGACCCCCUAGGAGUGGCAGUUGGUCCUAUGUCAGGAAUCCUACAUAUUAGGUACUUACAUUGCAAUUCGUAAUUGUAGAAAAAUUACAGUUAUGAAGUAGCAAGGAAAUAGUUUUAUGGUUGUAGGUCACCUCAGCAUGAAGGAACUACUGUAUUAAAGGACCACUGCCUAAGGAAGGUUGAGAACCAUGGCUUUAAAUGGCUCUAUUGUUGAUGGAAAUUGGUUCCCAGGCACUCAGUAGGAAUGAAAUACUGAGGCUGAUUGGUAAAACCUAAAACUCAAUAUGAAUACCCCCAACUAUACAAUCACGGUUGCUUUUUCCCCUAUUCUGCUGGUUGCACCCCCAAAACAGACUCAAGGCCAUCUGGUGAAGGCUCUGCUCCCUGCCAGCCUCCCCAAAGCCCUCCGCCCCCAAUAGAGUGGACAGAGUGUCACCGGAAAUUAGGAUGCUAGGUUGACAGGUCUCUUCUGUGUCAGCAGUGGGCGUGGGGGGGUCUGGUAAUGUGAGCUGCAUCUGGAGCUGGCCUGUUACUCCUGCUGUUCCCUGGGUGUUACAUAGUAACUCGCUUCUGGCUCUGGCUC